UACGGAGGGGGCUAGCGUUGUUCGGAAUUACUGGGCGUAAAGCGCACGUAGGCGGCUUUGUAAGUUAGAGGUGAAAGCCCAGGGCUUAACCCUGGAAUUGCCUUUAAGACUGCAUCGCUAGAAUUGUGGAGAGGUAAGUGGAAUUCCGAGUGUAGAGGUGAAAUUCGUAGAUAUUCGGAAGAACACCAGUGGCGAAGGCGACUUACUGGACGACUGUUGACACUGAGGUGCGAAAGCGUGGGGAGCAAACAGG
rnacentral:rRNA from 1 species